CGUUGCCUACGGGAGGCAGCAGUGGGGAAUAUUGCACAAUGGGGGAAGCCCUGAUGCAGCGACGCCGCGUGAGUGAGGAAGUAUUUCGGUAUGUAAAGCUCUAUCAGCAGGGAAGAAAAUGACGGUACCUGACUAAGAAGCCCCGGCUAACUACGUGCCAGCAGCCGCGGUAAUACGUAGGGGGCAAGCGUUAUCCGGGUUUACUGGGUGUAAAGGGAGCGUAGACGGAAUUGCAAGUCUGAUGUGAAAAUCCGGGGCCCAACCCCGGAAGUGCAUUGGAAACUGUAUUUCUAGAGUGUCGGAGG
rnacentral:rRNA from 1 species